UAAAACUUAAACACUAGGGCACUACGAAAGACCUUUAAAACCCAAAGAACUUGGCGGCCCUUUAUACCCCAUCAGGGGAGCCUGUCCUAGAACUGAUAUUCCACAACUAACCCCACUUGUCCUCGCCCCUCAGCCUGUAUACCGCCGUCGCCAGCCCACCUAAAAAAGUCAGUAUGCCCAAUAGAAACCUCUAGAACGUCAGGUCAAGGUGCAGUCCAUGGACAAGAAGAGAUGGGCUACAGUAUCCACCAAGCUCGGAAUCCCGAAUGAAAAAAAGAAAAAGAAGGACUUGAAAGUAAUGGGACAAAGAACCCCCAUGAAUAGAGCAAUAAAGCGUGCACACACCGCCCGUCAGAG
rnacentral:rRNA from 1 species